rnacentral:rRNA from 1 species
GUGGGGAAUAUUGGACAAUGGGCGAAAGCCUGAUCCAGCCAUGCCGCGUGUGUGAAGAAGGUCUUCGGAUUGUAAAGCACUUUAAGUUGGGAGGAAGGGCAGUAAGUUAAUACCUUGCUGUUUUGACGUUACCGACAGAAUAAGCACCGGCUAACUUAGUGCCAGCAGCCGCGGUAAUACGAAGGGUGCAAGCGUUAAUCGGCAUUACUGGGCGUAAAGCGCGCGUAGGUGGUUUUGUAAGUUGGAGGUGAAAUCCCCGGGCUCAACCUGGGAACUGCCUCCAAAAAUGCAUGACUAGAGUACGGUAGAGGGUAGUGGAAUUUCCUGUGUAGCGGUGAAAUGCGUAGAUAUAGGAAGGAACACCAGUGGCGAAGGCGACUACCUGGACUGAUACUGACACUGAGGUGCGAAAGCGUGGGGAGCAAACAGGAUUAGAAACCCCGGUAGUCC